GAUGAACGCUGGCGGCGUGCCUAAUACAUGCAAGUCGAGCGAACAGAUAAGGAGCUUGCUCCUUUGACGUUAGCGGCGGACGGGUGAGUAACACGUGGGUAACCUACCUAUAAGACUGGGAUAACUUCGGGAAACCGGAGCUAAUACCGGAUAAUAUUUCGAACCGCAUGGUUCGAUAGUGAAAGAUGGUUUUGCUAUCACUUAUAGAUGGACCCGCGCCGUAUUAGCUAGUUGGUAAGGUAACGGCUUACCAAGGCGACGAUACGUAGCCGACCUGAGAGGGUGAUCGGCCACACUGGAACUGAGACACGGUCCAGACUCCUACGGGAGGCAGCAGUAGGGAAUCUUCCGCAAUGGGCGAAAGCCUGACGGAGCAACGCCGCGUGAGUGAUGAAGGUCUUCGGAUCGUAAAACUCUGUUAUUAGGGAAGAACAUACGUGUAGGUAACUGUGCACGUCUUGACGGUACCUAAUCAGAAAGCCACGGCUAACUACGUG
rnacentral:rRNA from 1 species